rnacentral:lncRNA from 1 species
GCUAAGAGCACAUGCGCAUAGCCAGCUCCUCUCCCAGGCUGGCAGUCAUGAUUACGAGCAUCAUUCCAGAAUCUUUGGCUUCUAGAACCAACUCCAUUCUGAAGAACAUUUUAACAUCUAUGAAUACCUACCAGUUACAUUCACCUGGUCUGGUCUCUGUAAGCUUAGAAGAGUAGAAUCACUUUAUUGUUUAAAGACUUCCGGCCAGGCACGGUGGUUCACGCCUGUAAUGCCAGCACUUUGGGAGGCCGAGGCGGGUGGACCACCU